rnacentral:lncRNA from 1 species
AUGGACUUACAUCCGACUCCAAACAAACAACACACACAAAAGGAAACAGAAUGCUAAUACAUGGACUUACAUCCGACUCCAAAUAAUAGCAUACGCUAACCAGCGAACACCAAAGAAAAAGGUCAUCAGAUUGAUAAGCUAAUAGGGAGUCUGGAACUCGAUCCUAAUAGUUGUCACACAAACACAAAGAGACGCUGAGACGUCAAAAGAAACAAAAAGGUUGAACACACACAAAAAAACAAAAAGGGUGCCCGGAGAGAU